rnacentral:rRNA from 1 species
CUGGCGGCGUGCUCAUACAGUGUCUAGUCGAACGAGUUUGCUUUUACAUGAAGGCGUGUGCUUGCACCAACUGAUUUAAAAAUAAACGAGUGGCGGACGGGUGAGUAACACGUGGGUAACCUACCCUAAAGUGGGGGAUAACAUUUGGAAACAGAUGCUAAUACCGCAUAAUAUUAAAAACCACAUGGUUUUUAAUUGAAAGACGGCGUAAGCUGUCACUUUUGGAUGGACCCGCGGCGUAUUAGCUAGUUGGUGAGGUAACGGCUCACCAAGGCGAUGAUACGUAGCCGACCUGAGAGGGUGAUCGGCCACAUUGGGACUGAGACACGGCCCAAACUCCUACGGGAGGCAGCAGUAGGGAAUCUUCCACAAUGGACGAAAGUCUGAUGGAGCAACGCCGACGUGAGUGAAGAAGGUUUUCGGAUCGUCAAAACUCUGUUGUUGGAGAAGAACAUGGAUGAGAGUAACUGUUCAUUUAUUGACGGUAUCCAACCAGAAAGCCACGGCUAACUACGUGCCAGCAGCCGCGGUAAUACGUAGGUGGCAAGCGUUGUCCCGGCAUUCACUUUGGGCGUAAAGAGAGCGCAACGGCGGUCUUUUAUAACGUCUGAUGUGAAAAGCCUUCGGGCUUAACCGGAGAAAGUGCAUCGGAAACUGGGAACUUGAAUUGCAAGAAG